CACUCCUACGGGAGGCAGCAGUGGGGAAUAUUGGACAAUGGGCGCAAGCCUGAUCCAGCCAUGCCGCGUGAGUGAUGAAGGCCCUAGGGUUGUAAAGCUCUUUCACCGGUGAAGAUAAUGACGGUAACCGGAGAAGAAGCCCCGGCUAACUUCGUGCCAGCAGCCGCGGUAAUACGAAGGGGGCUAGCGUUGUUCGGAUUUACUGGGCGUAAAGCGCACGUAGGCGGACUAUUAAGUCAGGGGUGAAAUCCCGGGGCUCAACCCCGGAACUGCCUUUGAUACUGGUAGUCUUAAGUUCGAGAGAGGUGAGUGGAAUUCCGAGUGUAGAGGUGAAAUUCGUAGAUAUUCGGAGGAACACCAGUGGCGAAGGCGGCUCACUGGCUCGAUACUGACGCUGAGGUGUGAAAGCGUGGGGAGCAAACAGGAUUAGAAACCCGAGUAGUCCCAU
rnacentral:rRNA from 1 species